rnacentral:rRNA from 1 species
UAUGUAGGGGGCAAGCGUUGUCCGGAUUUAUUGGGCGUAAAGAGCGUGUAGGCGGCUUGGUAGGUCUUGCGUCAAAACCUGAGGCUCAACCUCAGUUCGCGUGGGAAACCACCUAGCUAGAGUCCGGAAGAGGAGAACGGAAUUCCCAGUGUAGCGGUGAAAUGCGCAGAUAUUGGGAAGAACACCAGUGGCGAAGGCGGUUCUCUGGGACGGUACUGACGCUGAGACGCGAAAGCGUGGGGAGCGAACAGG